rnacentral:rRNA from 1 species
AGGACGAACGCUGGCGGCGUGCCUAACACAUGCAAGUCGAGCGAGGAGAUUCCUUCGGGAUGAUCCUAGCGGCGGACGGGUGAGUAACACGUGGGCAACCUGCCUCAUAGAGAGGAAUAGCCUUCCGAAAGGGAGAUUAAUACCUCAUAACAUUGCAGUUUCGCAUGGAACAGCAAUUAAAGGAGUAAUCCGCUAUGAGAUGGGCCCGCGGCGCAUUAGCUAGUUGGUGAGGUAACGGCUCACCAAGGCGACGAUGCGUAGCCGACCUGAGAGGGUGAUCGGCCACAUUGGGACUGAGACACGGCCCAGACUCCUACGGGAGGCAGCAGUGGGGAAUAUUGCACAAUGGGGGAAACCCUGAUGCAAGCAACGCCGCGUGAGUGAUGACGGCCUUCGGGUUGUAAAGCUCUGUCUUCAGGGACGAUAAUGACGGUACCUGAGGAGGAAGCCACGGCUAACUACGUGCCAGCCGCAGC